rnacentral:hammerhead_ribozyme from 1 species
ACCCAGCUGGAGUCCCAAAUAGGAUGAAAUGUGCAUCCUGGAU